rnacentral:lncRNA from 1 species
AUGUAAAGAUGCAAAUGACACUUAAGAGCCACUUGACACACCUUCACUUCUAAGAGUGGAAACUAAACUAUUACACAAUUUUAGCAAUGGAGAUGAGAUUGUACCAAAGACAUUUUCCCAAGACACCAAGCAAAUAGAAAAUGAAAUCAACUAAAAAAAAUUACAAGAACACAAAGGUUUCGUGAUACAAAAUUAAUAGCCAAUAAAAGUGCUAAAACAGCCCCUAAUUCCUUGCUUCUUUCAAGUGUUUGUCCUCUCUUGAUUCACUCCAAAACAAUGUAGUUAUCUCCCUCCAAAGUCCAAGGAGAAAUGCUUCUUUUAGCCUUCUUUUUAGCCUUCAAAAAUGCUACCUUCAAGGUUAGUCAAUCUCCAAAAAGAACCACCAACCAAAUCUGUUUUUCCAACACCAAAGAGGCUAAAAAUAAAAGCAAUAAAAGCACAAUUUGAAAAGCUAAACUCAAAUGGAGUAAAAGAA